rnacentral:rRNA from 1 species
AGCUAAUAGAUACCCAGGUAGUCCUAGCUGUAAACGGUGCACGUUUGGUGUGGGAGGCAACCCCUUCCGUGCCGAAAGCUAAACGCGAUAAACGUGCCGCCUGGGUAGUACGGUCGCAAGACUAGAACUCAAAGAAAUUGACGGGGACCCGCACAAGCGGUGGAGUAUGUGGCUUAAUUCGAUGCAACGCGAAGAACCUUACCAGGGCUUGACAUGUAUUGUAACCCCGGUGAAAGCCGGGCAGCAUGGAAACAUGCGCUUUACACAGGUGCUGCAUGGCUGUCGUCAGCUCGUGUCGUGAGAUGUUGGGUUAAGUCCCGCAACGAGCGCAACCCUUAUGAUUUGUUGCCAUCGGUUCAUUCCGAGCACUUAAAUCAGACUGCCCAGAUUAACUGGGAGGAAGGUGGGGAUGACGUCAAGUCCGUAUGGCCCUUACGUCCUGGGCUGCACACGUACUACAAUGUCCAGUACAAAUUGAACCGAUACCGCAAGGUGGAGGAAAUCAACAAAACU